GAUAGAUAAGUAGUCUUAUAUUAUUCAUGAGAUUGAGUUCAGAAAGCCAUGGUCAUGACAGAGUGAAUGAUGGAAAAGAAUUUCAUAGGAUUUCACUUAUGAACUCGAGUCGAUUGAAUAUUACAUAUGACAAAUAAUGAGGUUUGACGAGUUAUCCAUGACCUCCAUCUUAUCGAAACUUAUGAUAGAAAGACUGAAUCACAUGAUAA
rnacentral:lncRNA from 1 species